UACGUAGGGACCGAGCGUUGUCCGGAAUCAUUGGGCGUAAAGAGCGUGUAGGCGGCUUGUUAAGUCUUGCGUGAAAUCUCGGGGCUCAACCCCGAGCGGUCGUGAGAAACUGGCAGGCUAGAGUGCGGGAGAGGAGAGUGGAAUUCCUGGUGUAGCGGUGAAAUGCGCAGAUAUCAGGAAGAACACCCGUGGCGAAGGCGGCUCUCUAGAACGCAACUGACGCUGAGACGCGAAAGCGUGGGGAGCAAACAGG
rnacentral:rRNA from 1 species